rnacentral:rRNA from 1 species
UAAGUUGCAGGGUAUAGACCCGAAACCCGGUGAUCUAGCCAUGGGCAGGUUGAAGGUUGGGUAACACUAACUGGAGGACCGAACCGACUAAUGUUGAAAAAUUAGCGGAUGACUUGUGGCUGGGGGUGAAAGGCCAAUCAAACCGGGAGAUAGCUGGUUCUCCCCGAAAGCUAUUUAGGUAGCGCCUCGUGAAUUCAUCUCCGGGGGUAGAGCACUGUUUCGGCAAGGGGGUCAUCCCGACUUACCAACCCGAUGCAAACUGCGAAUACCGGAGAAUGUUAUCACGGGAGACACACGGCGGGUGCUAACGUCCGUCGUGAAGAGGGAAACAACCCAGACCGCCAGCUAAGGUCCCAAAGUCAUGGUUAAGUGGGAAACGAUGUGGGAAGGCCCAGACAGCCAGGAUGUUGGCUUAGAAGCAGCCAUCAUUUAAAGAAAGCGUAAUAGCUCACUGGUCGAGUCGGCCUGCGCGGAAGAUGUAACGGGGCUAAACCAUGCACCGAAGCUGCGGCAGCGACGCUUAUGCGUUGUUGGGUAGGGGAGCGUUCUGUAAGCCUGCGAAGGUGUGCUGUGAGGCAUGCUGGAGGUAUCAGAAGUGCGAAUGCUGACAUAAGUAACGAUAAAGCGGGUGAAAAGCCCGCUCGCCGGAAGACCAAGGGUUCCUGUCCAACGUUAAUCGGGGCAGGGUGAGUCGACCCCUAAGGCGAGGCCGAAAGGCGUAGUCGAUGGGAAACAGGUUAAUAUUCCUGUACUUGGUGUUACUGCGAAGGGGGGACGGAGAAGGCUAUGUUGGCCGGGCGACGGUUGUCCCGGUUUAAGCGUGUAGGCUGGUUUUCCAGGCAAAUCCGGAAAAUCAAGGCUGAGGCGUGAUGACGAGGCACUACGGUGCUGAAGCAACAAAUGCCCUGCUUCCAGGAAAAGCCUCUAAGCAUCAGGUAACAUCAAAUCGUACCCCAAACCGACACAGGUGGUCAGGUAGAGAAUACCAAGGCGCUUGAGAGAACUCGGGUGAAGGAACUAGGCAAAAUGGUGCCGUAACU